CUCCAUCUUGGCUCAGACCUGUUGUCGGUGCACCUGAGUCCACCUGCCCGCACUCACCCGGUGCCUCCUCUCACUUCAGCAGAGACUAAUUGUGUGGGGAGGUAAACACAGCAGUCAAGUGGAGAGGACGGCGAGUCAAGCGUGAAUAUCAAUCUCCCCACAUCAGUGUCAUCAGAUGACUUUGACUAAGUUACGAUGGGCUCAUUAGAGUGGCGGAGCAGGGUGUCGGGUGGUAACAGCAUCCUGGUGGAGGACUCUGUAGAUAUGGAAGCCUGCAGAGCUCACCAGCUAACAGGCAAUGUGGACAGCAACUAUUGCUCACUGUUGCCGGUGCUGCAACUCUGUGCUCAGCUUUCCAGACUCUCCUGCCUGAACCUGCUGUCACAAAUGAUUUCAGGAAUCUGAUGAACUGUACCAACCUCAGAUUAACCUCCAACCCUGUCAUUCUCUUCCUGUAAACCCAGACCAUCACUGUAGGUUUCCAGAAGAUCAGGCGUGAAGAGGAAGAAAGACAUCAGAUAACAAGGCGGCGGCGUAUGGCGGCGUGACGCGCGGCGUCACAUGGCCCUCGCGGCAACCGGCAAGAACAAAGUGACGGGCUGCGGUGGAGCGCCGGGACAGAAUCAAGAGUUAAGAGCAUGGGGAGAGGUCAGAAGAAGACAGAUGUGAGAACAGGCUCUAUGACAAGAACCCCCAUCACAGCCCACUGAUGUCAGCGCUGCCUACCGUGUGUGAUUCAGGUCACUUCACACUGUAGGAGUGUGCUCUUGUACCUGAAGGUAGGUGUGUGCGCGCACUGUCACUCAGAGGCCACGGAGUGUUCAGGAGACAUUAAACCGUGAGGUGCAUUGAACGGAAAAAGAAAAGGGGGAGAACAAUUGAAUGAAACCGCAGGACUGAUGCCCACAUUUUCUGUUUACGUGUGACAUAUGUACAUGAGGAUGUGAUUUCACUCCUCCGCGUGCUCCCCGAGGACAUGUGAGAGUGAGGAAUGUUUGCGGGGGAAAGCAGGAAAAGGUCAAAAGCAUCGAUGACAUUAUUAUCACUUCAGUGCAUUGGGUCCUUGCACUUCAAACAGGAAGUCGCUGUCUCCUCGUGUCCCGGCGACAAGGUCAUAACCACAUUUACAUUCACGGGAUGCUUAUUUAUUCCGCAGGGUCGGGUCACAGUCAGCGUAUAACCGUCAUGUAUUUUUAUAGAUUUUUGACCGCAUUGUUUGCCGUACACACGUCCCAGUGUCCCCCUUAAAACAUACAACGUCCUAUAACUGAAACACUACGGACCCCAUCAAAUCAAGGACUGAGUCAAAGCUUUCAGCUGAGGCCGAUAAUAAGCGUGAGAAUAACCACGAUUUAAAAAGUCCAUAUCGAUAAUUAAUGUGACAAAAUAUCUGAUCGUUAAAGACUAAGCUUUGCUGCUGAAGCAAUGUUAAAACCCUUCAAUAAGUAUCACAGACGAUACAUUUGCAGUAAGUGCGACAGUUUGUGCUUCUGAAAGCUGAGAAGUUGCAGGUCAAAGCCAACAUG